CUUCUCGUCGGUGUUCCCGGCUGCUAUAGAGCCGGGUGAGAGAGCGAGCGCCCGUCGGCGGGUGUCGAGGGCGGGUUGCCUCGCGCUGACCCUUCCCGCCCUCCUUCUCGUCACACACCAGGUCCCCGCGGAAGCCGCGGUGUCGGCGCCAUGGCGGAGCUGACGGCUCUUGAGAGUCUCAUCGAGAUGGGUUUCCCCAGGGGACGCGCGUAAGGGAGUUCCCCAACCCCGGCCUGCGGGGGUGGGGGGUCGCGGACCUGUCUCGGCCUUUGCCCCAGCCUGACCGUCACCAUGGCUCGUGGGCGCUAUUCAUGGUGUUUCUGCCCCCAGGGAGAAGGCUCUGGCCCUCACAGGGAACCAGGGCAUCGAGGCUGCGAUGGACUGGCUGAUGGAGCACGAAGACGACCCCGAUGUGGACGAGCCUUUAGAGACUCCCCUUGGACAUAUCCUGGGACGGGAGCCCACUUCCUCAGAGCAAGGCGGCCUUGAAGGUCCUGACUGAGGGUCACGGUGUGAUUAUUCAGGAGGGUCCAAGGAGAAU
rnacentral:sRNA from 1 species